AUAAAGGCAAGGAAGAGGACAUGUUCGAUAAGGAAUCAAGGGUUUAGAGAGGGAAGUCGUGGCUGAGAACUUCCCCCUGUUGAUUUAUCGAUCACCACCUCGGAGCUCCGGUUGUGAAUCGUUAAUAAUAAGUAAUGACCGGCGUACAUCUGCGUUAAAGAUAAAUGAGCCGCUUUUUUUAGGCGGGAACAUGGGUGGAACCGCGAGUACAGAACUCGCCCCUUUU
rnacentral:ncRNA from 1 species